GAUUAACGCUGGCGGCGUGCAUAACACAUGCAAGUCGAACGAUGAAACUUAAAUGAUUUCUUCGGAAUGAACUUAAGUGGAUUAGUGGCGGACGGGUGAGUAACGCGUGAGUAACCUGCCUUACACAAGGGGAUAGCCGUUGGAAACGACGAAUAAUACCCUAUGAAACUAUCACUUCGCAUGAAGCGAUAGUCAAAGUGUUAGCGGUGUAAGAUGGACUUGCGUCUGAUUAGCUAGUUGGUGAGAAAAAAGCCCACCAAGGCAACGAUCAGUAGCCGGCUUGAGAGAGUGUACGGCCACAUUGGGACUGAGACACGGCCCAGACUCCUACGGGAGGCAGCAGUGGGGAAUUUUGCACAAUGGGGGAAACCCUGAUGCAGCGACGCCGCGUGAUUUAGAAGGCCUUCGGGUUGUAAAAAUUUUUUGUAUAGGAAGAAAAUGACAGUACUAUACGAAUAAGGUCCGGCUAAUUACGUG
rnacentral:rRNA from 1 species